rnacentral:rRNA from 1 species
GACAGAGGUGGCAAGCGUUGUUCGGAUUUAUUGGGUGUAAAGGGUAGGUAGGUGGUUAUGUAAGUCUGGUGUGAAAUCCCACAGCUCAACUGUGGAACUGCAUCGGAAACUACAUAGCUUGAGUAUCAUAGAGGUGAGAGGAAUUCUCGGUGUAAGGGUGAAAUCUGUAGAUAUCGAGAGGAACACCAGAGGCGAAGGCGUCUCACUGGCUGAUUACUGACACUGAACUACGAAAGCAAGGGGAGCAAACAGG